UACAGAGGUCCCAAGCGUUGUUCGGAUUCACUGGGCGUAAAGGGUGCGUAGGCGGCGGGGUAAGUCGGGUGUGAAAUCUCAGAGCUCAACUCUGAAACUGCACUCGAUACUGCUUUGCUAGAGGACUGGAGAGGAGAUUGGAAUUCACGGUGUAGCAGUGAAAUGCGUAGAUAUCGUGAGGAAGACCAGUGGCGAAGGCGGAUCUCUGGACAGUUCCUGACGCUGAGGCGCGAAGGCCAGGGGAGCAAACGGG
rnacentral:rRNA from 1 species